rnacentral:rRNA from 1 species
UACAGAGGGUGCGAGCGUUAAUCGGAAUUACUGGGCGUAAAGCGUGCGUAGACGGUUAUUUAAGUCGGGUGUGAAAGCCCCGGGCUCAACCUGGGAAUUGCAUUCGAGACUGAAUAGCUAGGGUACGGUAGAGGGAAGUGGAAUUUCCGGUGUAGCGGUGAAAUGCGUAGAUAUAGGAAGGAAUACCAGUGGCGAAGGCGGCCUCCUGGAUCGAUACUGACGCUGAGGCGCGAAAGCGUGGGGAGCAAACAGG